UUGACCGGACGUUUUGUCAGAACACCGGAGACACAGUCGGAGUUUGUGCACGACACUCUCGGCUUUAUCAGAUAAGAAUAUCAGUAAAGUACAAUCGACCCAUAAACAAACCAAAUCCCUUAUACAGUUACAGACUGAUGAUGAGCAACCUCCAAAAUCAAAGGUUUCCCCAGGCCCCACGUGUGAAAGUACCAGGCUCCACCACUCUGCAGUCUGCCCCCCAACUCACUUCUAGCAACCAUCAUGAUGCUCGGGCCAGCUACCGGCUCCUUUCGCCAACCUACACAGCUAUGCGACCUCCCCAGCAAAUAGUCUGUGUUCAGUACCUUCUCUAAUGACGAUGCAGCCUUCCAAAAACGUAAUCAUGAUAAACGAGCUGAUCAGAGAAGUCGGGGACUUCCGUGAGGAGUUCAGAGCCUUCGGUUAAUCCUGCAGCACUGACCCUGUUGAUGCUGGGGUAUUGCCUCUGGAUUAGCCAUUUAACAACAUAGAUGAGAUGAAGUGCAAUGACCGGAGGUGAAUAAAGCAAUGAUGGCCUGACUCAGCCGGUGGGGUAAACGCUGUUUCUGAGUUUGCCUUCGGCCAAGCUGUGCAGAGAUGUCUCCUCUACGCUCCAGAUCACAUGGGUGGUGCAGGAUGCCCGAUAUCCAGCUCGAUCCCUGAGUAAACUUAAAAUAAAAUAAUAGGUGACCUGUAA